ACCUAACCAUUUGGACUUCAGUUAACUAUAGAUGUACUUGACAACCAAGAAUAGCCAUCACAAAAAAUCUAUUUAAAGUUUGACUUUGAGGAUGGUGUCUCUGACUACAUUGUGCACAGAGCUUAUCAAAGGGCAUGUACUGCAGUCGAAGCAAGUAAUGGCCAGGCUGAUCGGUCUCUUUGCCCAGCCAUCACCACAUGAGCUGCAAUGGACCUCCCGUGGCCAAGAUGGAAGGGCAUGCCAGGAAGUCAGAGAACAACUUGCUGCUGGUUCUCUCCUUCCAGCGUAUGGAUUCAAAGGACUCGAUUCAGAUCCUAAGGCUUGGUGGCAGAUCUCCAGAUGAUUGCCUCCAACUCGUUCAGGUGCUCAGCAAAUUUGUUGAUGUUGAAUAUGAUGAAAAACUACAUUGAUCCUGCGACUCCGGUGGACCUGUGAGGUCACGUGUGUCAGGACCAACCAGCCUUGUUAACAUUUCUAUGAGGCAUCGCAGACUUUUGGUGAGGCCCACGAAUGUUCUAUGUCUUCCAGCUACCGUUCUGUAAUUAAGUUUGCUGCAUUUUGUAAAGUCACUUAUUAAAGGUUUAGAGGUUCAUUAGCAA